rnacentral:miRNA from 1 species
AUAGGUAUUCUCAAACAAUUGCAUUA